rnacentral:rRNA from 1 species
CUGGGUUCAGAACGUCGUGAGACAGUUCGGUCCCUAUCCGGCGCGGGCGCACAAGGCUUGAGGGACGCCGUCCUCAGUACGAGAGGACCGGGACGGGGGCGCCUCCGGCGCACCGGCUGUCGCGCCAGCGGCACGGCCGGGUAGCCGCGCGCCCCGCGGAGAAGCGCUGAACGCAUCUAAGCGCGAAGCCGCUCCCAAGAUGAGGCCUGGGGGAUCCGCCGGAGAACACGGCGUGGAUAGGGCGCAGGCGCAAGCGGCGCGAGCCGUUCAACCGAGCGCUACUAAUAGAUCCCGGCUAAUUAUC